rnacentral:rRNA from 1 species
GAUGAACGCUGGCGGCGUGCCUAAUACAUGCAAGUCGAGCGAAUGGAUUAAGAGCUUGCUCUUAUGAAGUUAGCGGCGGACGGGUGAGUAACACGUGGGUAACCUGCCCAUAAGACUGGGAUAACUCCGGGAAACCGGGGCUAAUACCGGAUAACAUUUUGAACCGCAUGGUUCGAAAUUGAAAGGCGGCUUCGGCUGUCACUUAUGGAUGGACCCGGGUCGCAUUAGCUAGUUGGUGAGGUAACGGCUCACCAAGGCAACGAUGCGUGGCCGACCUGAGAGGGUGAUCUGCCACACUGGGACUGAGACACGGCCCAGACUCCUACGGGAGGCAGCAGUAGGGAAUCUUCCGCAAUGGACGAAAGUCUGACGGAGCAACGCCGCGUGAGUGAUGAAGGCUUUCGGGUCGUAAAACUCUGUUGCUAGGGAAGAACAAGUGCUAGUUGAAUAAGCUGGCACCUUGACGGUACCUAACCAGAAAGCCACGGCUAACUACGUGCCAGCAGCCGCGGUAA